ACUCGGCCGUGAAACGCCUCAGCGCCGAUGGUACUGCGUCUUAAGACGUGGGAGAGUAGGUCGCCGCCAGGU
rnacentral:rRNA from 1 species